GAUUGUGGCUCAGCGGUAGAGCGCUCGCCUAGCACAUAGAGGCCCUGGGUUCGAUCCUCAGCACCA
rnacentral:tRNA from 1 species